rnacentral:lncRNA from 1 species
UCUUAUCCAAUGACGAAACCCCGGUAUCUCGCUUGGGUCUGUUGACCGAGCGAUUCGCUGGGUUCGUAGCCACCGAAUCCUCGCCGCCAAUUUCGUGGAGUUCGGUUGCCUCACCAGUAUAUAUCAUGCGCACCGCACAUGUGUCCCAUCUAUCGAGAGCCUAGGAAGUGAGACGAGCCUGCAGAUUCCGGUGAGAUCAGGCGCCCUGCGCCUGCUGUUGAGGGAGAGCGAGGGACACCCACCGCCACCGUGUGCAUCUGUGUCGUGAGGAGAGAGUGCGGUGGUUCGCCGAACAACGAAGGAUCCGUGCGCCCCCCAUAUCUGGCCUUCAUCGCCGAUUUGGAGUCUGCGGGUGGUCGAGGGCGCUCGGCCGAACGUGUGGAGCUCCGUUGUAGAGAGAAGUUGAGGGAUGGAUCGCAGGACUGCUAUGUGCUCGUCGCGGUGGUGAACGGAAGUCUUCUCGGCGUCCAAUUUGGUGGUGGCAGGGGUGGUGCUGGGCGAGCCCUCGCCGGACAUCGCACUCCAUGGCAGAAUCUGUGCCACCAUGUGCCGUGAAUCGUGCUGCUGCGCACCGUGGGCAGCCAUGCCUGUGCUUUGUGUCAUGGUGAGACUUCCUUCCCUGGAUUCGCAUUCUUCUCCUCUGCGCGUAGAACCUUUCGAAUCGUGACUUGGGGACGCCAGGGCCUCGGGCCAUCUACUCGCCGGUGAACUACCGCCGUGGGGGUUUGGCGACGCCACCUGUGCCGGCCAGAGGUAGAAGGUAAGCGUUGUGGCCGUCGAUCGGAUAUUCUGCGGCUGCGAUUAGAUCCGGGUCCCUUCUCGCGUGGUCGAUCUCUGCCCUCCAUCAGAAAUCGGUCGGCAGAGAGCGUGUCUUCACCGUGUUUGGAUCUGAACCGUAGUUGGCUAAUCAUAGGGCUGUAGCGUGGUCAGUGGAGUGCAUUGAUCUUGCCCGCUGACCAUCGAUCGGGCGGUUACGGGUGAACACUGGCUCAGGAUGAAGACACGAUCUAAUCAUCGCCGUUGGUGAGCAAUCGGGCGGCUAGGAUUUAACCAUACCCUUUCGGCCUUGACAAGUUGCUAAAGAGCCCUCGUAGAAUCAGGGAUUCAACCCGCCGUCCUAGCAUUGGUAGGCUAAGUCUUAGGAUAAUUUGCGCUGAGACCCCUGUCCUUCCCCAAAAUUGGCGCACAGUCCAAGGAAAUAGAAAAUCAGAGAAUUUGAUUUAUAAAAUGAAUUUAUUAUAUAAAAACAAUUCAGAAUCUUGUUAAAUCCAUAGAAAAAUUCAUAUUAAGUUCAAAUUAGUUCAUUCCAAUUUCUAUAAUUCUAUAAUAUUAUUGUUUAUCAAUUAGUGCCACUGAUUUGACAUGAAAGUCACUUUAAAAUUUAUUUCUUAAUUAAUCUCGGAUCAAAUACACAAAACCUUAGAAAAUUCAUAUCUCCUCCGUUUUAAAUCUGAUUUGACUCGUUCCAGUUGCGAUAGCUUCGUAUAAAUAUCUACUACACAAUAGCAACAUUUAUUAUAUAAUAUCUCAUACUUUUAUAAUUGGGUUAAUCUAUGUCUCUUGGACUAACUUCUUUAAUAUUCUAACUUUAUGGCUAUAAUUUAACCAGAUAAUCUUUGAUCAAAUAAUGACUUAGAUUAAAGUGGAGAUAGUUAUUUAUAGAAUAAUCUCUUAUAUGAUUUCUAAUAACCAAAUUAUAAUAUAGUUUAAUAUUUUAGUCACAUAAAUCAUCUAUAAAAUCAUAACUCCUUAACCUUGACUCCGAUCUUAGUAGCUCUCGAACCCACGAUCUCGUAGCUUCGCGUAGAUCAUUAUUAUGCAGUAUGUUCUUAUGUUUGGUGUGAUGUUAAUUUUGUCUAUACCAUGUAUGUUUGUAUUGCUACGACUAGCAGUGCGGUCACGGGGAUCUGAAGAAUCACCCUGGUAACUGGAAUCUCAAGUGCCAGGCAAGUUGUGCCCUUGAUCACUUCUUUUUACCCACUCAUGUUCUAAUUAAUCAAAAUGAUCUGCAUAGGUUAAUUUUGAUGGGACCCAAUAGGUUACCCUAGUUUGUUUAUCCUGUUUACCUUGUUUACCCCUGAAUCAAUUGGGUAGUUAUGCUAUUGCUUUAUAUGGUUUUUGGGUUAAUAUUUCAUUACAUCCAUGUUCCAAUUAUUCUGUUAUGUUAUUUAUGUUCAUGAUAAGAUCAUUAUGUUAAUUGGAACAUGGAGCGACCACCCGGGAAAACAGUGCUACCACAAGGGUUUAAUGGGACGCCCUUGGCUGAUUAACUAGGAAAGCUAGUGGAGGUCUUCCUUACCCGAAAGGGGCAAGGGCAGUAGGGGAGUGGUCAGUGUAGGGAGGUCCUUGGGUUGACUUUGCUGCGAUGGCGGUCAGACAAGAACCCUGCAUUGGAGCUUCCUAUAAAUUGUAGCGGGAUUUCUGAAGCUAGUGGAACUUUGUAAAGGCCUCGUAGUGUUACCCUGCCUCGCUUCCUUGGUAGAGGUGUAUGGGACUCAUGACCCCUUGGUAGAUGGGUAACACGGCUUGUGGGUAAAGAUGUGUAACCUCUGCAGAGUGUAAAACUAGUAUACUAGCCGUGCUCACGGUCAUGAGCGGCUCGGACCCUCACAUGAUUAAUUUAUGGAACCUAAAUUCAAUUUGUCAUUUGCAUUUGCAUGGGAUUUGUUAUUAAUUUUGUUCCAUUAUUUAUUAUGGUUUGGUAUUUACUUACACCUAGUAAUUGCUAAUAAAAUUUUGACCAACAUUAAAAGCAAUGCUCAACUUUAACCAUUCUCUUUGAUAAGCCUUACACUUCACAUGAACUCCCACCUUUUGUGAGUUCAUGUCACAUUAUUCCCCACAACUUGUUGAGCGAUGAACGUAUGUGAGCUCACUCUUGCUGUCUCACACCCCCCCACAGGAGAAGAACAGGUGGUUCAAGAGGAGCCGCAUAUCGAGGAGUUCGAUUCGAUCUAGGUGGCGUCUCCCAGUUGACUUUCUGGCGCCUAGGAUAGAUUUUAGAUCAUGUUAUAUUUAUCUUUUAUUUUUGUAAGUCUUCCGCUAUGUAUUAAGUACUCUGAUUAUUGUGACAUUUAUCUCUAUACACUCUGUGAUUAUAUAUGUUGUCUUCUUUGGCGCAUGUAUGAGAUGCACCCGGCUUUGUCCCCUUAAAAUCGGGUGUUACAGAAGUGGUAUCAGAGGAAUGUCGACUGUAGGACGAAACCUAGAUAGAACUGGAUAACCCUUACCUACUUACCUUACUCUGAUUCUUUCUAUACUUAUCUUGAUCCUGUCUCACCUUCUACUGUUCUACUCUGAUUAACCUUACCUUUGCUACUCUGAUUCUUUUCUAAACUCAUCUUAAUCUUUUCUCAUCUAUUUCUGCUUUACUCUGAUUACUCUUACCUUUCCUUCUAAAGACUAAUGUGGAUUUCACACUUUGAAAUCAUGUGCCUAAGUUGACCUUUAGGAAUAAGAGACCUACUCUUAGGAACAAAAAUAAAACUAUUUUUAUAGGUAUCUAUACGCUUGAGUGUUUGUUCUUAUGAUACUUGUCUGAUUUGGAUCUUUGAUUGAGUGUGAUGGGUUGUGGAGUAAUGUCCACAAUUACAUCUGCAUAUACGUAUAAGCUUAAAUAGAAUUCAUAAGAAAACUAAGCAAUUUAGAUUAUCCUCCAUUAAAAUGUAUCUAUCUCAUAGAGAUUCCUCUAAUCUUAAAAGACUCUUCCAUAUCUUAAUAGAUUCAUCGUAUCUUAUAAGAUUCUCUCUUAUCUUACUAGAUCCACCUCAUCUCAAAAGAUUCUUCUUACCUUAAUAAAUUCAUCUUAUCUUGAAGAGAUUCUAUCUUAUCAUAACAUAUCUAACUAAUCUCAAAAGAUUCUAACAUAUCUUAAUAAUACAUAUUCUACCCUGUUGGACCUAUCUAACCUAAACUAGUCUAAUCUAGUCACAUCCAAUCUAAUCUAGAUCUUAUCUUACCUAAUGUGACCUGAUCUAGUGUGGUCUAAUGUUAUCUAACCUAAUGUGGUCCACUUAAACAGAUUAAUGGCACUAGUAGAAGAGAUUAGACCCUACUAGCCAUGUAUUAACUUAACUUAGCACAUUGGAUCAACUCAACCAUGAGCUAACCCAACCCAUAGAGCCAUGAUGAAUGGUAUAACCUUUCUAUUCCCACCUAACAACAAACAAACUUUUAACCUACAUCUUGUAGUCUAUCUCACCCAUAUAUAUCUCUCAUUUUGAUAGAUUCUAUCGUACCUUUGGACAUUCACCUUAUACGACUAGUUAUCACAAUCUUGAUAUAAAACAAAGAUUAAGCCCUACUAAGAAUCUUCAGAUCAUAACCAGAUACUAGCUCAUUCAUUCCGCUUAUCGAAUAAUUUCCCUUGCAAAACUAUUUUGUCAUAUGAUUCUAACUUCGAUGGUAAAUACCAGGAAGAAAAGAUCAUCAGACAAUAGCAAGCAGAAAUGAAUCCUCCCAAUCCUCCAUCUGUUGAAAUCGAUCAAGUGGUUGCUGCCCAAAGGCUGGUAAUACAACAAUUGACAGACAUAGUGACCGAAAUGCAAAAUCAGAUAAGACAAGAACGCGAGGAAAUACGUCAGGUCCGUCUGGAGAUACGUCAAGAAUUAAGGCAAUCACGGUUGGAAAGACAACGACAACAACAACCACUACCUCCACCACCACCAGCCCCACCAAGCUACAUAAACAUAUAUAUAAAUUAUUACUAUUUGUAAGACCUAAAUGAUACUUUGGUUAGUAGUGGGUAUGAUAUUAUUUUAGGAGGAAUAAUAAGGUCUAAUUAACCCCAUGUGUUGCUAAUAAAUUAUGCAUCAUGCUGAGAUUUUGUUUGUGCAUAUGUUUUGAGACAAUAUGAGUAUACACCCUUUUUCUUACAAAUCUCGAGGACGAGAUUUUUGUUAAGGGGGGUGGAAUUUGUAACACCCAAAAUUCUAUUUUGGGAUUUAUAAAAGGUUCUUUAAACAAAUUGAGUAAAAGUGUACCUUAAUAAUAAAAUCCUUUCUUUGCAAAAUAUAUUUCCCUAAAGAAUGUGGAUAGUAAUAUUAAAAUGUUGGUACCUCAAAGGUUAGAAUUAAAACUUUGAAAACUAGAGAAAACAUCUUCCAAUAUUUAACUCGUGGACUAUUCUUAAAUAAUCUCUUUGUGUUUAGGAACCUUCUUUUAGUAGGGACCAAAUGAAAGAUUCUUAUACAAACUGAUUUAUUUAGGAUGAUAUAAUAUUUGUAAAUAUCCACUAAGACAUUAAGAUGAUGUAUUAGAAAUUGUUUUCUAGAAUAAUAUAUUUUGUGCAUACGAGUGUUCAAAUUAGAAAAUAGUUGAUUAAUGGUAAAGUAAGAUAAUAAAUAAAAUUAAUAAAACUAAACUUUAUACUUCAUACUGGAGUUUUACGUGCACAACUAAAAUUGAGUCGAAGUUUGAACUGAUUUUGAAUCUCAUUUAAAUCUACAAAUUGAAAGAAGAAAACAUGAAAUAAAGAAAAAAAAUACAUUACCUACUUGUGGACCGAAUUGCUUGGUCGGCCUUGGUGCCCACACGCCCGCCUCACCAUGUGAGUGCAUCUGGUCGAUGACGACAGGGCCCUAUUUGCCAACAAUUCACGCUGUAUCCGCGUUAUCUACUAGACUCAAUGACGAUCUACCCCCACCUGUUAGGUUCAUCUCUUAUCCAAUGACGAAACCCCGGUAUCUCGCUUGGGUCUGUUGACCGAGCGAUUCGCUGGGUUCGUAGCCACCGAAUCCUCGCCGCCAAUUUCGUGGAGUUCGGUUGCCUCACCAGUAUAUAUCAUGCGCACCGCACAUGUGUCCCAUCUAUCGAGAGCCUAGGAAGUGAGACGAGCCUGCAGAUUCCGGUGAGGUCAGGCGCCCUGCGCCUGCUGUUGAGGGAGAGCGAGGGACACCCACCGCCACCGUGUGCAUCUGUGUCGUGAGGAGAGAGUGCGGUGGUUCGCCGAACAGCGAAGGAUCCGUGCGCCCCCCCAUAUCUGGCCUUCAUCGCCGAUUUGGAGUCUGCGGGUGGUCGAGGGCGCUCGGCCGAACGUGUGGAGCUCCGUUGUAGAGAGAAGUUGAGGGAUGGAUCGCAGGACUGCUAUGUGCUCGUCGCGGUGGUGAACGGAAGUCUUCUCGGCGUCCAAUUUGGUGGUGGCAGGGGCGGUGCUGGGCGAGCCCUCGCCGGACAUCGCACUCCAUGGCAGAAUCUGUGCCACCAUGUGCCGUGAAUCAUGCUGCUGCGCACCGUGGGCAGCCAUGCCUGUGCUUCGUGUCAUGGUGAGACUUCCUUCCCUGGAUUCGCAUUCUUCUCCUCUGCGCGUAGAACCUUUCGAAUCGUGACUUGGGGACGCCAGGGCCUCGGGCCAUCUACUCGCCGGUGAACUACCGCUGUGGGGGUUUGGCGGCGCCACCUGUGCCGGCCAGAGGUAGAAGGUAAGUGUUGUGGCCGUCGAUCGGAUAUUCUGCGACUGCGAUUAGAUCCGGGUCCCUUCUCGCGUGGUCGAUCUCUGCCCUCCAUCAGAAAUCGGUCGGCGGAGAGCGUGUCUUCACCGUGUUUGGAUCUGAACCGUAGUUGGCUAAUCAUAGGGCUGUAGCGUGGUCAGUGGAGUGCAUUGAUCUUGCCCGCUGACCAUCGAUCGGGCGGUUACGGGUGAACACCGGCUCAGGAUGAAGACACGAUCUAAUCACCGCCGUUGGUGAGCAAUCGGGCGGCUAGGAUUUAACCAUACCCUUUCGGCCUUGACAAGUUGCUAAAGAGCCCUCGUAGAAUCAGGGAUUCAACCCGCCGUCCUAGCAUUGGUAGGCUGAGUCUUAGGAUAAUUUGCGCUGAGACCCCUGUCCUUCCCCAAAAUUGGCGCACAGUCCAAGGAAAUAGAAAAACAGAGAAUUUGAUUUAUAAAAUGAAUUUAUUAUAUAAAAACAAUUCAGAAUCUUGUUAAAUCCAUAGAAAAAUUAAUAUUAAGUUCAAAUUAGUUCAUUUCAAUUUCUAUAAUUCUAUAAUAUUAUUGUUUAUCAAUUAGUGCCACUGAUUUGACAUGAAAGUCACUUUAAAAUUUAUUUCUUAAUUAAUCUCGGAUCAAAUACACAAAACCUUAGAAAAUUCAUAUCUCCUCCGUUUUAAAUCUGAUUUGACUCGUUCCAGUUGCGAUAGCUUCAUAUAAAUAUCUACUACACAAUAGCAACAUUUAUUAUAUAAUAUCUCAUACUUUUAUAAUUGGGUUAAUCUAUGUCUCUUGGACUAACUUCUUUAAUAUUCUAACUUUAUGGCUAUAAUUUAACCAGAUAAUCUUUGAUCAAAUAAUGACUUAGAUUAAAGUGGAGAUAGUUAUUUAUAGAAUAAUCUCUUAUAUGAUUUAUAUUAACCAAAUUAUAAUAUAGUUUAAUAUUUUAGUCACAUAAAUCAUCUAUAAAAUCAUAACUCCUUAACUUUGACUCCGAUCUUAGUAGCUCUCGAUCCCACGAUCUCGUAGCUUCGCGUAGAUCAUUAUUAUGCAGUAUGUUCUUAUGUGUUGGUGUGAUGUUAAUUUUGUCUAUACCAUGUAUGUUUGUAUUGCUACGACUAGCAGUGCGGUCACGGGGAUCUGAAGAAUCACCCUGGUAACUGGAAUCUCAAGUGCCAGGCAAGUUGU